rnacentral:misc_RNA from 1 species
AAGACUAUAGACCUGCGGAGUACCUGCGGAAGGAUCACUAUAGAAAACAUACAUAUUCCCAGAGGGAGGGGGGUAGGAGAAGGGGGGGGUGUGUGUGGGUUAUAUAUGUACCCCUCUCCUCUUUCCUGUCUUCUCUGGGCAAACAAACAUACAUGACUAAGAAAACAGUAACCUACAGAGAGAUGGUUUGAUUUGGUUUGACUUGACUUGGAUAUAAUGCCUUUCUCUCAACAAAAAUUC